UGGGGAAUAUUCCGCAAUGGGCGAAAGCCUGACGGAGCGACGCCGCGUGGAUGAUGACGGUCUUCGGAUUGUAAAGUCCUGUAGAGGGGGAAGAAGGCCCGCAAGGGUUGACAGUACUCCUAAAGUAAGCUACGGCAAACUCUGUGCCAGCAGCCGCGGUUAUACAGAGGUAGCAAGCGUUGUUCGGAAUGACUGGGUGUAAAGGGCGUGUAGGUGGUUUAGUAAGUUGAAUGUGAAAUCCAUUGGCUCAACCAAUGAACUGCAUUCAAAACUGCUUUACUUGAGUACGGGAGAGGGAAGUGGAAUUUCUGGUGUAGCGGUAAAAUGCGUAGAUAUCAGAAGGAACACCGGUGGCGAAGGCGACUUCCUGGUCCGUAACUGACACUGAGGCGCGAAAGCUAGGGGAGCAAACAGG
rnacentral:rRNA from 1 species